rnacentral:rRNA from 1 species
GACGAACGCUGGCGGCGUGCCUAAUACAUGCAAGUCGAGCGGACAGAAGGGAGCUUGCUCCCGGAAGUUAGCGGCGGACAGGUGAGUAACACGUGGGCAACCUACCCUGUAGAUCGGGAUAACAUCGAGAAAUCGGUGCUAAUUCCGGAUAAUCAUUUGAAGUGCAUGCUUCGAAUGUAAAAGAUGGCUCCGGCUAUCACUACGGGAUGGGCCCGCGGCGCAUUAGCUAGUUGGUAAGGUAAUGGCUUACCAAGGCAACGAUGCGUAGCCGACCGGAGAGGGUGAUCGGCCACACUGGGACUGAGACACGGCCCAGACUCCUACGGGAGGCAGCAGUAGGGAAUCUUCCGCAAUGGACGAAAGUCUGACGGAGCAACGCCGCGUGAGUGAUGAAGGUUUUCGGAUCGUAAAGCUCUGUUGUUAGGGAAGAACAAGUGCCGUUUGAAUAAGGCGGCACCUUGACGGUACCUAACCAGAAAGCCACGGCUAACUACGUGCCAGCCGCCGCAGUAACAC